GACGAACGCUGGCGGCGUGCUUAACACAUGCCAGUCGAACGGAAAGGCCCUGCUUUUGUGGGGUGCUCGAGUGGCGAACGGGUGAGUAACACGUGAGUAACCUGCCCUUGACUUUGGGAUAACUUCAGGAAACUGGGGCUACUACCGGAUAGCAGCUCCUGCUGCAUGGUGGGGGUUGGAACGUUUCGGCGGUCGGGGCUGGACUCGCGGCUUAUCAGCUUGUUGGUGGGGUAGUGGCUUACCAAGGCUGUGACGGGUAGCCGGCCUGGGAGGGUGACCGGCCACAUGGGGACUGAGAGACGGCCCAGUCUGGAAUGGGAGGCAGCGGUGGGGAGUCUUGCACAGUGAUCCGGAGUCUGAUGCAGCAGCGUUGGGUGCGGGAUGACGGUCUUCGGGUUGAAAACCGCUUUCGCCUGAGACGAAGCGUUAGUGACGGUAAUGGAUAAAGAAGCACCGGCUAACUACGUG
rnacentral:rRNA from 1 species